AUUAGCUGGGCAUGGUGGUGCGCACUUGUAGUUCCAACUACGUGUUGGGAGGGUGAGGCAGGAGAAUUGCUUGAACCUGGGAGGCAGAGUCUGCAGUGAGCCACGAUCAUGCCACUCCACUCUAGCCUGGGUGACAGAGCAAGACUCUGUCUAAAAA